UACGUAGGUGGCGAGCGUUGUCCGGAUUUACUGGGCGUAAAGAGCGCGCAGGCGGUCGUACAAGUCGCGUGUGAAAGCCCCCGGCUCAACUGGGGAGGGUCACGGGAUACUGUUCGACUCGAAGGCAGGAGAGGGAAGUGGAAUUCCCGGUGUAGUGGUGAAAUGCGUAGAUAUCGGGAGGAACACCAGUGGCGAAGGCGACUUCCUGGCCUGUUCUUGACGCUGAGGCGCGAAAGCUAGGGUAGCAAACGGG
rnacentral:rRNA from 1 species